AAAAUAACAUCAUCCGAUCCCUAGUCGGCAUAGUUUAUGGUUAAGACUACGACGGUAUCUGAUCGUCUUCGAUCCCCUAACUUUCGUUCUUGAUUAAUGAAAACAUCCUUGGCAAAUGCUUUCGCAGUAGUUAGUCUUCAAUAAAUCCAAGAAUUUCACCUCUGACAAUUGAAUACUAAUGCCCCCAACUAUCCCUAUUAAUCAUUACGUCAAUCCUAGAAACCAACAAAAUAGGAUCAACGUCCUAUUUCAUUAUUCCAUGCUAAUGUAUUCAAGCGCGAGCCUGCUUUAAACACUCUAAUUUUUUCAAAGUAACAGUCCUGAUUCCCCGCGACACCAAAUUAAUGACAUCACGGUUCUUCAGAAGGGAGAAACCAGUGACACCAGUGCAUACCAAAGGCAUGACCAGCGUACUGAUCCCGAAAUUCAACUACGAGCUUUUUAACUGCAACAACUUUAAUAUACGCUAUUGGAGCUGGAAUUACCGCGGC
rnacentral:rRNA from 1 species